rnacentral:misc_RNA from 1 species
GAGAGUGUUAUAACUCCCAAACCCAUGUGAACAUACCUCUCGUUGCCUCGGCGGAGAGAGGGACUACCCAUCAGAGGGCUACCCGGGUCUUCUGACCCGGGAGGCCCGGGUAACCCUCCCGCCGCCGCUGGCCCGCGAAACCCUGUUUUAUUUUGGAACUCUGAAUCGUAAAGCAAAUAAGUUA